rnacentral:rRNA from 1 species
GACGAACGCUGGCGGCGUGCCUAAUACAUGCAAGUCGAGCGGACAGACGGGAGCUUGCUCCCUGAUGUUAGCGGCGGACGGGUGAGUAACACGUGGGUAACCUGCCUGUAAGACUGGGAUAACUCCGGGAAACCGGGGCUAAUACCGGAUGGUUGUCUGAACCGCAUGGUUCAGACAUAAAAGGUGGCUUCGGCUACCACUUACAGAUGGACCCGCGGCGCAUUAGCUAGUUGGUGAGGUAACGGCUCACCAAGGCAACGAUGCGUAGCCGACCUGAGAGGGUGAUCGGCCACACUGGGACUGAGACACGGCCCAGACUCCUACGGGAGGCAGCAGUAGGGAAUCUUCCGCAAUGGACGAAAGUCUGACGGAGCAACGCCGCGUGAGUGAUGAAGGUUGUCGGAUCGUAAAGCUCUGUUGUUAGGGAAGAACAAGUGCCGUUCAAAUAGGGCGGCACCUUGACGGUACCUAAACAGAAAGCCACGGCUAACUACGUG